rfam:Botryotinia fuckeliana BcDW1 unplaced genomic scaffold Scaffold_258, whole genome shotgun sequence.
GCGUUUGUGGUUUAGUGGUAAAAUCCAUCGUUGCCAUCUAUCUCUUCUUAAUUCAAGAAGAGUGAGAAACAACCUCGAUGGGCCCCGGGUUCGAUUCCCGGCGAACGCA